GGUCUAUGGCUCAGUGGUACACCACUUGCCUAGCAUGUAUGAGGCCCUGGGUUCAAUCCUCAGCACCA
rnacentral:tRNA from 1 species